ensembl:lncRNA
GUAUGUCUCAGUCAGUUGUAAUCGCUGUUCCAUUUUCCAGAUCAGCAGAUGCGACUGGGCACAGUAGUGUACAGCUGAAAUUGCAGACAUCUGGGUUCCUGGGUGAGCUUAGGAAGUGUCUCAAAAAUGGACAGCACUGCAGGACACCAAAGUUCGCCAUUGGAGGAUCCAGAAAUAAACACCUUUCACCUGGCAUCACUUACAAGACAGCUGAGAAAGAACACAGUUACAGAUGUGCUGACACAGCUAUUUUUCUGAGGAAGGUUUUCCAAUCUUGUGUCAGGUCCAGUGUCGAGAAUGAAUGGCGAGAGGACAAGUGAAAAUCUAAGUACUCAGUGAGACCGAGCAUUGAAGGCUGAGAA